rfam:Schistosoma haematobium scaffold2045_11, whole genome shotgun sequence.
AUCCAAACGUUGAUGAGCUAUGCUUGCGAAGGCUGAAACCGGAGGUUACUCGGGUGGAGGACCAUUGCAAUUCUGGUGUGUAAAUCGAUCAUGUAAGGUGAGUACAGGAGGAGAAGUCCAACCAGAUCAUCCAGUAUCCGG